rnacentral:rRNA from 1 species
AUACGUAGGUGGCGAGCGUUGUCCGGAAUUACUGGGCGUAAAGGGUGCGUAGGCGGAUAAUCAAGUCAGAUGUGAAAGUCCAUGGCUUAACUGUGGGAGUGCAUUUGAGACUGAAGAUCUAGAGUGCAGGAGAGGGAAGCGGAAUUCCUAGUGUAGCGGUGAAAUGCGUAGAUAUUAGGAAGAACACCAGUGGCGAAGGCGGCUUUCUGGACUGUAACUGACGCUGAAGCACGAAAGCGUGGGGAGCAAACAGGAUUAGAUACCCUGGUAGUCCACGCCGUAAACGAUGAGUAUUAGGUGUAGGGGACGAUAGACUUCUGUGCCGGAGCAAACGCAAUAAAUACUCCGCCUGGGGAGUACGGUCACAAGACUAAA